ACGGAGGGUGCAAGCGUUGUCCGGAUUUAUUGGGUUUAAAGGGUACGUAGGUGGACCUUUAAGUCCGUGGUGAAAGCCCGCAGCUUAACUGUGGAAUUGCCAUGGAUACUGGAGGUCUUGAAUUUAGUUGAGGUAAGCGGAAUUUAUGGUGUAGCGGUGAAAUGCAUAGAUACCAUAAAGAACACCCAUUGCGAAGGCAGCUUACUGGACUUGAAUUGACACUGAGGUACGAAAGCGUGGGGAGCGAACAGG
rnacentral:rRNA from 1 species